rnacentral:rRNA from 1 species
AGUGGCGGACGGGUGAGUAUCGCGUAGGGAUUUAUCGUUGGGUGGGGGAUAACCUUGGGAAACUGGGGCUAAUACCGCAUGACGCCUGAGGGCCAAAGUUGUAAUGGCGCCUGACGAGGAGCCUGCGUCCGAUUAGCUAGUUGGUUGGGUAAAGGCUGACCAAGGCAUCGAUCGGUAGCUGGUCUGAGAGGAUGAUCAGCCACACUGGGACUGAGACACGGCCCAGACUCCUACGGGAGGCAGCAGUGGGGAAUAUUGGACAAUGGGCGCAAGCCUGAUCCAGCAAUGCCGCGUGGAUGAAGAAGGUUUUCGGAUUGUAAAGUCCUUUCGGCGGGGACGAUGAUGACGGUACCCGCAGAAGAAGCCCCGGCUAACUUCGUGCCAGCAGCCGCGGUAAUACGAAGGGGGCUAGCGUUGCUCGGAAUGACUGGGCGUAAAGGGCGCGUAGGCGGAUGUCUUUGUCGGGCGUGAAAUUCCAGGGCUUAACCUUGGGGCUGCGUUCGAGACGGGAUGUCUAGAGUUUGGAAGAGGGUCGUGGAAUUCCCAGUGUAGAGGUGAAAUUCGUAGAUAUUGGGAAGAACACCGGUGGCGAAGGCGGCGACCUGGUCCUUGACUGACGCUGAGGCGCGAAAGCGUGGGGAGCAAAC